rnacentral:lncRNA from 1 species
AAAAAUGCUACAAGAUAGCAUCCAAAAAGCUUUUCUAGACAUUGGCUUAGGCCAAGUAGUCAUGACUAAUGCCCCAAAAGCAAACGCAAAAAUAUAAAAAUAGAAUAAGAUCAAUAGGACCUAAUGAAACCGAAAAUCUUCUGCAAGGCAGAAGAAAUAUCAGCAGGGUAAACACACAACCCACAGUAUAGGAAACAGUAGUCACAAACUAGGCAUCUGACAAAGGACUAAUGUCCAGACUCCAAAGGAACUGAAAGAAAUCAGCAAGAAGAAAAGGUGCCAUUUACCACCUUCCUGACUCAUUGGCCAGAACCAAUGUUAGUGGAAUUAACAUAUGCCCCACCCCAAGUGACUUCUAAAGGGCUAACUCACCACAAGGGAGUCAGAGCAGAUCUUGGACUGAGACCUACAGGACACAGGUACUGCUUUUUCUCUUUUAUUUGUUUUAAAUUUUAUUUAUGUUUUUAGAUCAAAUAGUUCAGAUUGCAUUGGUUUUUAAUCUGCUGUUGUUGGAUUAACAUAUGCUUUAAGCGACUCUUAAAUAGGUGGCUCACCAGGAGAAAGGCAUAGCAGAACCUGGACUGAGACCUACGGGAGACAGAUCACCCUGGCCCACCAUGCCCUAUCCUGUGCCUAAAAAAACCCUGGGACCCUAGCAGGCAGACACACAGGAGGUUGGACGUCGAGAGGAGCACAUCAGUGCAAGAACACAUGGGUGGCUGCCACUUCUCUCCCUUUCCUGAGAGGGAAAAACUCUCGACGCUGAGAGGAAUCCACCAACAGGCACCAGCACUCUGGCAGGCCACCGACCAAUGGAUUGACAUAGAGUUUGGCUGGGGCAGCCAGAGGAGAGCCUGGGCCGCUGAAUAACCCGACUUCAGGGGAAAACUAUUCUCCCUUUUGGCUCCCCCAUCUGCUGAGAGCU